rnacentral:rRNA from 1 species
GACGAACGCUGGCGGCGUGCUUAACACAUGCAAGUCGAGCGGAAAGGCCCUGCUUUUGUGGGGUGCUCGAGUGGCGAACGGGUGAGUAACACGUGAGUAACCUGCCCUUGACUUUGGGAUAACUUCAGGAAACUGGGGCUAAUACCGGAUAGGAGCUCCUGCUGCAUGGUGGGGGUUGGAAAGUUUCGGCGGUUGGGGAUGGACUCGCGGCUUAUCAGCUUGUUGGUGGGGUAGUGGCUUACCAAGGCUUUGACGGGUAGCCGGCCUGAGAGGGUGACCGGCCACAUUGGGACUGCGAUACGGCCCAGACUCCUACGGGAGGCAGCAGUGGGGAAUAUUGCACAAUGGGCGGAAGCCUGAUGCAGCAACGCCGCGUGCGGGAUGACGGCCUUCGGGUUGUAAACCGCUUUCGCCUGUGACGAAGCGUGAGCGACGGUAAUGGGUAAAGAAGCACCGGCUAACUACGUG